rnacentral:rRNA from 1 species
UAUUUCAUUGAGACUUCGGUGGAUUUGAUCUAUUUCUAGUGGCGGACGGGUGAGUAACGCGUGGGUAACCUGCCUUAUACAGGGGGAUAACAGUCAGAAAUGGCUGCUAAUACCGCAUAAGCGCACAGAGCUGCAUGGCUCAGUGUGAAAAACUCCGGUGGUAUAAGAUGGACCCGCGUUGGAUUAGCUAGUUGGUGGGGUAACGGCCCACCAAGGCGACGAUCCAUAGCCGGCCUGAGAGGGUGAACGGCCACAUUGGAACUGAGACACGGUCCAAACUCCUACGGGAGGCAGCAGUGGGGAAUAUUGCACAAUGGGGGAAACCCUGAUGCAGCAACGCCGCGUGAGUGAAGAAGUAUUUCGGUAUGUAAAGCUCUAUCAGCAGGGAAGAUAAUGACGGUACCUGACUAAGAAGCUCCGGCUAAAUACGUGCCAGCAGCCGCGGUAAUACGUAUGGAGCAAGCGUUAUCCGGAUUUACUGGGUGUAAAGGGUGCGUAGGUGGCAGUGCAAGUCAGAUGUGAAAGGCCGGGGCUCAACCCCGGAGCUGCAUUUGAAACUGCUCGGCUAGAGUACAAGAGAGGCAGGCGGAAUUCCUAGUGUAGCGGUGAAAUGCGUAGAUAUUAGGAGGAACACCAGUGGCGAAGCGGCCUGCUGGACUGUUACUG